AGCUCUGAUGAACCCAAUAUUCGCUGUGUUCUUUCCGAACUAAAGAUUGACGAACCAUAUAUUUCACCUUUGGAGAACUGAUAU
rnacentral:snoRNA from 1 species